rnacentral:rRNA from 1 species
AGAACGAACGCUGGCGGCAUGCCUAACACAUGCAAGUCGAACGCUUCCGGGGCUUCGGUCGCGGAGGAGUGGCGCACGGGUGAGUAGCGCGUGGGAACCUGCCCUGUUGUGGGGGAUAACCGAGGGAAACUUCGGCUAAUACCGCAUACGCCCCGGGACUUGGUCUUCGGAUUAGGUCUGGGGGGAAAGAUUGAUCGCAGCAGGAGGGGCCCGCGUCGGAUUAGCUGGUUGGUGGGGUAACGGCUCACCAAGGCGAUGAUCCGUAGCUGGUCUGAGAGGAUGAUCAGCCACACUGGGACUGAGACACGGCCCAGACUCCUACGGGAGGCAGCAGUGGGGAAUAUUGGACAAUGGGGCAACCCUGAUCCAGCAAAUGCCGCGUGAGUGAUGAAGGCCUUAGGGUUGUAAAGCUCUUUCGCCGCGACGAUGAUGACGGUAGCGGAGAAGAAGCCCGCUAACUUCGUGCCAGCAGCCGCGGU